UUCAAGGAAUAGGAAAUAGACUCCACCUGGAUGGGAGAAGUGGUAUGUGACAGGGAAGGAAAGAAUUGGUGGCAGGCAUCUUCAAAACCAUCUACCACCUCCUCUACAUUUUUAGGUAUAUUAUUCCUCUAUGUAACUAGUCAGAAAUAUUUCUUGCCAAUUUGUCAUUUGCAUUUUGACUUUGCCUAUGUUUCUGGCUCUGUGUGUCUAUGUGCAUGCAUAUGCUUAUCAUGUAGGAUUUUUAAAACAAUUUAAUUUGAAGCAGAUAUAGACUCACAGAGGUUUCAAGGAUAUUAUAGAAAAGUUUCCAUGUGCCCUUCAGUUUCUCCCAAUGAUAGCAUCUUAUAUAACUACCGUACACCAUCUAAACCUGCAAAAUCAACAUUGGAACAAUGUGUAUCCUUUCAUCACAUAUGUGAAUCCACGCAACCACCACGAUAAUCACAAUUUAGAACUGUUCCAUCGGUAUGGAGAUCUCCCUCUGGAACUAUCCCAUUAUAGUCACACCCUCCUACCACCCCUAAUCCAUGGAAACCACAAAUCUGUUUUCCAUCUCUUUAGAGGGUUGAAUAGUGGCUUCCAAGAAGAUAUGUCAAAUGUCUAACCUCCAGAAUCUGCAAAUAUGAUCUUAUUUAUCACCUUAGUAGCUUUUCUAUGGCUAUUGAGACAGAUACAGAGACAGAGACAGAGACAGAGACAGAGACAGAGACAGAGAGAGGAGAGAGAGAGAGAAAAAAUCAGAGACUAAGCAACUUUUAAAGAACAGAAGUUUAUGUUGACUCAUGGUUCUGGAGACUAAGUCCAAGUUUGGGCCUGGAUUCUAUUCCAUACCAUCUGCCGAGGGCCUUGUGUUACUUCAACUCAUACUGGAAAGCAGAAAGACAGGUGUUUCUUCCUGCCACAACAAAGUGUGAAGAAUACCGUCUUCCUGGCAUCUGGACUGUCUCUCCCUCUGCUGCACAUCCAGCCUGGCCUCUUAGGUACUUGCUCUGGACUCACUCUGCAUUAGCUCAUUGGAAACUAUGAACUGAAGCUUCCAUGGUGCCCCGUCUCCUGGUUCCUGUUCUCUUCAUGAUGUCCCCAGAGUUUGGCCCUUCUCUCCUCUCUCUCUCUCAUAAUUGUCAUUCUCUUCUUGGGUAGUCUCACUCAGUCCCAAGGCCUUGCAUCUUACCCAAAUUCUAAAGACCUCCAGGCCCUAUUUCCUAUCCAAAUCCCUCUCUCGUCCAUGAUUGAGCCGCUGAAAUUUUACUGUAUUUCUCCCAGGGGGAAUUACUAGGAGUUUGAGACAAAAUUAAAACUUUUUUUUUUCAUCACCCUCUAA